AGUCUUAUAUUCAAUAUUUGAUAUAAAAUUGCAAAUUUUAAGGGGUAAUAUAUUUACUAAGGCUU
rnacentral:tRNA from 1 species